AUAACAGCAGUAUCUAAUGCUUGUAUUGGACUGUCAGAAAUGCAGCAAAGGCCGCAAAUGUAUUAUCUUGCCAAAAAUGGGUGUUUUUUUAAUACCAGAAUAUAACAGCAGUAUCUAACGAUUGUAUUGGACAGUCAGAAAUGCAGUAAAGGCCGCAAAUGUAUUAUCUUGCCAAAAAUGGGUGUUUUUU